GGGUUGUGAGGUUAAGCGACUAAGCGUACACGGUGGAUGCCCUGGUAGUCAGAGGCGAUGAAGGACGUGCUAAUCUGCGAUAAGCGUCGGUAAGGUGAUAUGAACCGUUAUAACCGGCGAUUUCCGAAUGGGGAAACCCAGUGUGAUUCGUCACACUAUUAUUAACUGAAUCCAUAGGUUAAUGAGGCGAACCGGGGGAACUGAAACAUCUAAGUACCCCGAGGAAAAGAAAUCAACCGAGAUUCCCCCAGUAGCGGCGAGCGAACGGGGAGCAGCCCAGAGCCUGAAUCAGUGUGUGUGUUAGUGGAAGCGUCUGGAAAGGCGUGCGAUACAGGGUGACAGCCCCGUACACAAAAAUGCACAUAUUGUGAGCUCGAUGAGUAGGGCGGGACACGUGGUAUCCUGUCUGAAUAUGGGGGGACCAUCCUCCAAGGCUAAAUACUCCUGACUGACCGAUAGUGAACCAGUACCGUGAGGGAAAGGCGAAAAGAACCCCGGCGAGGGGAGUGAAAAAGAACCUGAAACCGUGUACGUACAAGCAGUGGGAGCACGCUUAGGCGUGUGACUGCGUACCUUUUGUAUAAUGGGUCAGCGACUUAUAUUCUGUAGCAAGGUUAACCGAAUAGGGGAGCCGAAGGGAAACCGAGUCUUAACUGGGCGUUAAGUUGCAGGGUAUAGACCCGAAACCCGGUGAUCUAGCCAUGGGCAGGUUGAAGGUUGGGUAACACUAACUGGAGGACCGAACCGACUAAUGUUGAAAAAUUAGCGGAUGACUUGUGGCUGGGGGUGAAAGGCCAAUCAAACCGGGAGAUAGCUGGUUCUCCCCGAAAGCUAUUUAGGUAGCGCCUCGUGAAUUCAUCUCCGGGGGUAGAGCACUGUUUCGGCAAGGGGGUCAUCCCGACUUACCAACCCGAUGCAAACUGCGAAUACCGGAGAAUGUUAUCACGGGAGACACACGGCGGGUGCUAACGUCCGUCGUGAAGAGGGAAACAACCCAGACCGCCAGCUAAGGUCCCAAAGUCAUGGUUAAGUGGGAAACGAUGUGGGAAGGCCCAGACAGCCAGGAUGUUGGCUUAGAAGCAGCCAUCAUUUAAAGAAAGCGUAAUAGCUCACUGGUCGAGUCGGCCUGCGCGGAAGAUGUAACGGGGCUAAACCAUGCACCGAAGCUGCGGCAGCGACACUAUGUGUUGUUGGGUAGGGGAGCGUUCUGUAAGCCUGUGAAGGUGUACUGUGAGGUAUGCUGGAGGUAUCAGAAGUGCGAAUGCUGACAUAAGUAACGAUAAAGCGGGUGAAAAGCCCGCUCGCCGGAAGACCAAGGGUUCCUGUCCAACGUUAAUCGGGGCAGGGUGAGUCGACCCCUAAGGCGAGGCCGAAAGGCGUAGUCGAUGGGAAACAGGUUAAUAUUCCUGUACUUGGUGUUACUGCGAAGGGGGGACGGAGAAGGCUAUGUUGGCCGGGCGACGGUUGUCCCGGUUUAAGCGUGUAGGCUGGUUUUCCAGGCAAAUCCGGAAAACUAAGGCUGAGGCGUGAUGACGAGGCACUACGGUGCUGAAGCAACAAAUGCCCUGCUUCCAGGAAAAGCCUCUAAGCAUCAGGUAACAUCAAAUCGUACCCCAAACCGACACAGGUGGUCAGGUAGAGAAUACCAAGGCGCUUGAGAGAACUCGGGUGAAGGAACUAGGCAAAAUGGUGCCGUAACUUCGGGAGAAGGCACGCUGAUAUGUAGGUGAAGUCCCUCGCGGAUGGAGCUGAAAUCAGUCGAAGAUACCAGCUGGCUGCAACUGUUUAUUAAAAACACAGCACUGUGCAAACACGAAAGUGGACGUAUACGGUGUGACGCCUGCCCGGUGCCGGAAGGUUAAUUGAUGGGGUCAGCGCAAGCGAAGCUCUUGAUCGAAGCCCCGGUAAACGGCGGCCGUAACUAUAACGGUCCUAAGGUAGCGAAAUUCCUUGUCGGGUAAGUUCCGACCUGCACGAAUGGCGUAAUGAUGGCCAGGCUGUCUCCACCCGAGACUCAGUGAAAUUGAACUCGCUGUGAAGAUGCAGUGUACCCGCGGCAAGACGGAAAGACCCCGUGAACCUUUACUAUAGCUUGACACUGAACAUUGAGCCUUGAUGUGUAGGAUAGGUGGGAGGCUUUGAAGUGUGGACGCCAGUCUGCAUGGAGCCGACCUUGAAAUACCACCCUUUAAUGUUUGAUGUUCUAACGUUGACCCGUAAUCCGGGUUGCGGACAGUGUCUGGUGGGUAGUUUGACUGGGGCGGUCUCCUCCUAAAGAGUAACGGAGGAGCACGAAGGUUGGCUAAUCCUGGUCGGACAUCAGGAGGUUAGUGCAAUGGCAUAAGCCAGCUUGACUGCGAGCGUGACGGCGCGAGCAGGUGCGAAAGCAGGUCAUAGUGAUCCGGUGGUUCUGAAUGGAAGGGCCAUCGCUCAACGGAUAAAAGGUACUCCGGGGAUAACAGGCUGAUACCGCCCAAGAGUUCAUAUCGACGGCGGUGUUUGGCACCUCGAUGUCGGCUCAUCACAUCCUGGGGCUGAAGUAGGUCCCAAGGGUAUGGCUGUUCGCCAUUUAAAGUGGUACGCGAGCUGGGUUUAGAACGUCGUGAGACAGUUCGGUCCCUAUCUGCCGUGGGCGCUGGAGAACUGAGGGGGGCUGCUCCUAGUACGAGAGGACCGGAGUGGACGCAUCACUGGUGUUCGGGUUGUCAUGCCAAUGGCACUGCCCGGUAGCUAAAUGCGGAAGAGAUAAGUGCUGAAAGCAUCUAAGCACGAAACUUGCCCCGAGAUGAGUUCUCCCUGACUCCUUGAGAGUCCUGAAGGAACGUUGAAGACGACGACGUUGAUAGGCCGGGUGUGUAAGCGCAGCGAUGCGUUGAGCUAACCGGUACUAAUGAACCGUGAGGCUUAACCUUACAACGCCGAAGGUGUUU
rnacentral:rRNA from 1 species